rnacentral:lncRNA from 1 species
AUGCCUAUGGGGAACCCAUGUAUCUCUAUGAGUUCCCAUGUAUCCCUGUGGUCCCCAUGUAUCCCUAUGGUUCCCCAUGUAUCCCUAUGGGUCCCCAUGUAUUCCUAUGAGUCCCCCAUGUAUCCCUAUGAGCCCCAUGUAUUNNNNNNNNNNNNNNNNNNNNNNNNNNNGGUCCCCAUGUAUCCCUAUGGUCCCCCAUGUAUCCCUAUGGUCCCCAUGUAUCCCUAUGGUUCUCCCCAUGUAUCCCUAUGGGUCCCCAUGUAUCCCUAUGGUCCCCAUGUAUCCCUAUGGUCCCCCAUGUAUCCCUAUGGUUCUCCCCGUGUGUCCCCAUGGGUUCCCCAUGUAUCCCUAUGGGUCCCCCAUGUAUCCCUACGGUUCCCCAUGUAUCCCCAUGGGUUCCCCAUGUAUCCCUAUGGUUCACCACGUCCAGUCUUUCCCUGAACGCCCCCCGUGUCGGUGACUGCACCGCCUCCCUGUGCAGCCCAUCCCCGUGCCUGGCCGCCUUUCUGGAAAGCAGUACUUGCUUGUGUCCGUGUUGAGGGACGUUAAAGGGCGCUGCCCCUUUAAGAGGCGUGGUGAAAAGAACUGAGGGGGCGUGGCCCGCUUAAAGAGGCGGGGCCAAAGGGAUGAGAGACCAAAAGGGGGCGUGGCCAGAACAGAACAUGUGCCAGAAGGGGGCGUGGCCAAUGGGGUUGGGGGUGGUGAUGCAAAGGGGGCGUGGUCGAAAAGAAUGAAGACCAAAGCGGGGUGUGGACAAACAGGGGGCGUAGCCAAUAGGAUUGCGUGACCAAAAGGGGGGCGUGGCCAGAACAGAACGUGGCCAAAAGGGGGCUUGGAGCUAAAGGGGGCGUGGCCAAUAGUGGGCAUGGCCAAUGGGGUUGAGGUGGUGACGCAAAGGGGGCGUGGACAAAACGGAUGCGAGGCCAAGUGGGGGCGUGGCCAAAAUCACAUUGGCCAAUGGGGUGUGUGGUCAAAGGGGGCGUGGUCAAAAAGAAUGAAGCCGAAAGCGGGGUGUGGACAAACGGGGGGCGUAGCCAAUAGGGAUGCGAGGCCGAUAAGGGGGCGUGGCCAAAACAAACAUGGCCAAAGGGGCUCUAACCUAAAGGGGGCGUGGCCAACAGUGGGCUUGGCCAAUGGGGUUGGGGCGGUGCCGCAAAGGGGGCGUGGUCAAAAGGGAUGAAGCUGAAAGGGGGUGUGGACAGAGCGGGACGUAGCCAAUAGGGUUGCAUGACCAAAUGGGGGGCGUGG